AUGUUCUUGUUCGGUACUAUGAUGAAGAUGUGGGAAAAAGUGGCAACCCAGCAUCUAGCCUCGAGGAAACUGAAUAUUGCAGAUGCCUUAACAAUCACAAACACAUUGAAAGAUAUUCUCCAGUCAUAUAGCCUGAACUGGAAUCAGGUUGUUGGUAUACUGUUGGAUAACUGCAGUGUGAUGAGAGGGAAAAAGUCUGGAGUAGAGACACUAGUCAGAAGAGAAAAUCCAUCACUGCUGGAUGUCAGCGGAGACACUGUCCAUAUGGUCUCGAAUGCAGCCAAGGCCCUUUUAAAUCCUUUCCAGGGAUUUGUGGAACAAUUUUGCUCUGAUGUAUACUAUGACAUUGAAAAAUCACCCAAACAGAAAGAAGUUUUUUCUGAGUUUCAGUCCUUACUUCAUUUGGAGAAUAAGAGCCUAAUACGUCCCAUCAGCAGCAGGUUCCUGCAAAUGUUGGAUGUGUGCAACAGAAUACGGGAGCUUAUGGAUCCAUUGACUGUGCACUUCUACAGCGUCCUGUCUUCUCAUGAUCAACACAAACACAGAUGGCUCCUGAACCAGCUUCUUGAUAAGCAUGCAGUUACAUCUGAUGAGAAGGCCAGGAUAAUUUGUCUGCAACAGCAAAUGGCAAAAUCUGCAAGGAUCGGAAGUGAUGUCAACAAAAAACGAAAGACACGCAUCUGUAUGCUUUUUUCAGAGUUCGACAAGCUCACAACCAUUAUUGAUUUGUAUCGAGGUGUACUUCCAACUUUUCAGGUGUUCCUGAAGAAGUUGCAACAUGAAAAGCCCAUGAUUCAUGUGCUGCAUGCUGAAAUGCUGCUACUGGUUAGGGAACUUCUCUCCAAAUUUAUGAAGCCUGAAACUAUUCCUUUGAGUGCAAAGGGCUUGUUGAAGCUUAAUGUUCACCAGAGAGACCUGCAGUACACUGACAAAAGGUUGUCUGUGGGGAGAUUCAGCUUCUUUGCCUUAAACAAGGCUAGAGUAGAAAAGAAGCCCUGGGUGCAGAAGGUCUACAGCUCUCUCAGAGAAGGCUACAUAAAGGCAGCAACAUUCCUCCUGAAAAACCUGCCCCUCAACAACAACAUCAUCACCUCUUUAUCUGCGCUGACACCAUCAUUGAUUCUCCAUGAAUCAGUCCAAGGUGCAUUCAACACCUUGGCCAAGGCCUUGCCAAAUGCUGUGAAGUCAGAGGAGUUGGGUCAACUGGAUGAAGAGGUUCGAGCCUACCAGAUUAAUACAGAUCUAGGGACACAGGCCAAAUGCUUUGAGGAGAACAAUGCACAAAUCGAUGUUGACUGGUGGAGUAAGAUUUUCGCCAUGAAGAUGCCAGAAGGAGGAAUGAGGUUCCCCAUCUUAGGGAAGUUGGUAAAGGCUCUUCUGUCAUUGUUCACUGGCCCUCUUGUCGAAGGAUCAUUUAACAUGAUGGAUGAUAUAAUUGAGAAAGACAGGGUUAGGCUGAACAUUGAGACUUAUGAAGGCUUAGCCAUUCUCAAGUCCCACAUGAAGGUAAUGGGCAAAACUGCAUCUAAAAUGCAAAUUACCCCUGCAUUAAGGAGAUUUUGCCUGUCUUCUUAUGAGACAUACCAAAAUCAUCUGAAGAAAAAGAAGGUGAACCUUGACAAGCAAAAGGAAAGGAAACUGAGGGAAGCUGUGAAGGUCCUCUCAGCAGUUAGGGUUAGAAAAAGUAAAGAAAGGUUCCACCUCUUCUGUUUGUGCUAAAAGCCUCCACCUCUUCCGCCCUUGGAGUUAAACAAAAAGCUGCUGCUACAGCCUCCACCCCUGCAGUUAAAGGCGCUGCUGCUACAGUCUCCACCUCCUCCACUGUUGGAGUUAAAGGUAAAGCUGUUGCUACAGCCUCUUUCUCCUCCACCCCUGGAGUUAAAGGCAAAACUGCUGCUACAGCCUCCACCCCCUCCACCUCUCCUGGAGCCACUCCUGCACAUGUAGCUAGUCAAACACUAAAACGGGUGUCAGGUGUAGCCAAGCUUCAGGAAUAUGGUUUCACAGCCAAAAAGCAGAAAAAGUGAAAAGCACUCUAGAGACAUUUGCACAAGAAAAGCACUUUUUGGAAUUUAAUGGUGGUGCAGUUACUUUUUUUCCUGUUCAUUAUUAAGAGUUUCACAAAACAUUGUUUGGUGUUAUAAGAUAAAUAAAAACAUGCACUGAAAAGAUGUGUGGUAGAUGGUUGAUUAUUUGUCAAAAUAUGCAAACUGGCAAUAUUAAAGCGGUUUAAUCUCCCCUUAAAACGCUAUUGGUCUCGACUAUUUAAAUAAAGUGUUUGUUAAAGGAAUAUGGCUUGGCCUGAAAAAUGUUCAGUCAGAAGAUUUUUUUUCACUUUAAUCCCUGGGGAAAUCUUUCACCCACAAAAAUGAUGUGAUCAAUGUGACCACAGAAUAAAAGAAUAGAAAAGGUAAUUGUGACUUUUUAUCUCACAAUUCUGACUUUUAUCACAGUUGAGUUUAUAUCUUGAAUUUGCAUGUUAUAAACUUGUCAUUGUGAGUUUAUAUCGUACAGUUCUAUAUGGUUAAAAGUGUUAGAACACCUGACCAUUAAAGUAACCAGGACUUUAAUGACAUCACAUUCUAAAUAUGUAGACAUGGAGUUGGUCCCCCCUUUGCAGCUAUAAUUCAAUUCAAGUUUAUUUGUAUAGCACUUUUUCCGAUACAAAUCAUUGCAAAGCAACUUUACAGAAAAUUAAGUUUCUACAAUGUUUAGUAGUAGCUUAUCAUGUGCAUACGGCAGAAAUGUUCGGAAAAUUAAUAAAAGACGUAAACAAACAGACGAUUAAAACUAUUAAUAGCAAUUAUGCAAUCAAACUUAUAGCAAAAUGUGGUAGUUCUGUAUGCUGUUUCAGGGUUAGCAUCAUCUGAGGUCCUCUGAGGGGUUGGCAUCAUCUCUUAUCAGGUGUUCUGGAUCCAGACUGGAGCUUGUGUAAAUCCUAGUUAAAUCCCGUGGCAAAACAGAGAAACAAAUAGAGACAUAGUUAGCAUAGCUGCUGUUCAAGCCUAGUAAAAUUAAUUUGUUUAACCCAAACUAAAGAAUAAUAAUGUGCAUUUGAUCAGAUAUAACUGCAGCCAAAAAUUAUGAGAUGCAUUAUUUGAAUGCUUGGCCAAAGAGGUGUGUUUUUAAUCUAGAUUUAAACAUAGGAAGUGUGUCUGAACCCCGGACAUUAUCAGGAAGGCUAUUCCAGAGUUUGGGAGGCAAAUGUGAAAAAGCUCUCCCUCCUUUAGUGGACUUCGCUAUCCUAGGUACUACCAAAAGUCCAGAGUUUUGUGACCUUAGGGAGUGUGAUGGAUUGUAGCGUGGUAGAAGACUAGUUAAGUAUGCAGGAGCUAAACCAUUAAGGGCCUUAUAAUUAAGUAAUAAUAUUUUGUAACUGAUACGGAACUUAAUAGGUAGCCAGUGCAGAGACUGUAGUAUUGGGGUAAUAUGAUCAUAUUUUCUUGACCUGGUAAGGACUCUAGCCGCUGCAUUUUGGACUACCUGCAGCUUGUUUAUUGAGGAUGCAGGACAACCACCUAGCAGUGCAUUUCAAUAGUCCAGUCUAGAGGUAAUGAUUGCAUGAACUAGCUUUUCUGCAUCAGAAACAGGUAACAUGUUUCAUAGCUUGGCAGUGUUUCUAAGAUGGAGGAAUGCUAUAACAGCUUCCACUUUUCCUUGAGGGGCAUUCCACAAGAUGUUGGAGUGUUUCAGUGGGAAGUUGUUUCCCAUUUAUCCAGUAGAGCAUUUGUGAAGUCAGCCACUGAUGUUAGACAACAAGGCCUGGCUCACAGUCUGUUACAGUUAAUCCCAAUGGGGUUGAGGACAGGGCUCUAUGCAUGUCAGUCAAGUUCUUCCACACCAAACACAUCCGACCAUGACUGCUUUGUGGACUGGGGCACAGUCAUUCUGGGAUAAAGAAAGAGAUUUGCCCAGUCUGUUCCCACAAUGUUGGAAGCAUAGCAUUGUCCAGAAUGUCUUGGUUUGAGGAAGCAUUAUGAUUUCCCUUCACUGGAAGUAAGGGGCCUAGGCCUUGCAAAACAGCUCCAUACCGUUAACCCUCCUCCACCAAACAGUUGGCACAGUGCAGUCAGGAAGGUAAUGUUCUCCUGCCGUCACCCAUCAGACUGCCAAAAAGAGAACUGUGAUUCGCCACUCCAAAGAACAGGUUUCCACUGCUCCAGAGUCCAGUGGUUGUGUGCUUUACACCACUCCAUCCAACACUUGGCAUUGUACUUGAUGAUGUGAGGCUUGUAUGCAGCUGCUCGUCCAUGAAAACCCAUUCCAUGGAGUGUCCACGCACAGUUUUUGUGCUGAUACUAAUCCAGUGGAAGUUUGCAUUGAAUUCUGCAGCUAUCGAAUCAGCAGAGCAUUGGCGACUUUUACAUACCAUGCAUCUCAGCACUCGGUUGAGUUGAUGUUGUUCCUAAACGCUUCAACUUUAUAAUACAACCACUUACAGUUGACCGUGGAAUCUAGAGGGGAUGAAAUUUCAUGCACUGACUUGCUGCAAAGGUGGCAUCCUAUCACAGUACCACACUUCAAUUCACUGAGCUCUUCAGAACAACCCAUUUUUUCACAAGUGUUUGUAAAUGCAGACUGCAUGGCAUACUUUUAUCCAUGUGGCGUAUGAGUAAAGAUAAGGUGUAUAAUAGCUUAUUUGGAAAAUGUAUCGAAUAGAAACUUUUUAAAAUGCAUUUGGGCUUCAUACAGUUCAUCAUGCAUUCAUUUUUUUGGGGACCUAACCCCUCGAUGCUCUACCAGUUGAGUUACAGGUAAUAUGAAUGGCUAUUUAUAUGUAAACAUG
ensembl:lncRNA